CCUACGGGGGGCAGCAGUCGGGAAUAUUGCGCAAUGGAGGAAACUCUGACGCAGUGACGCCGCGUAUAGGAAGAAGGUUUUCGGAUUGUAAACUAUUGUCGUUAGGGAAGAUAAAAGACAGUACCUAAGGAGGAAGCUCCGGCUAACUACGUGCCAGCAGCCGCGGUAAUACGUAGGGAGCAAGCGUUAUCCGGAUUUAUUGGGUGUAAAGGGUGCGUAGACGGGAAAUUAAGUUAGUUGUGAAAUCCCUCGGCUCAACUGAGGAACUGCAACUAAAACUGAUUUUCUUGAGUGCAGGAGAGGUA
rnacentral:rRNA from 1 species